rnacentral:rRNA from 1 species
CCCUAUGGGGUGCAGCAGGUCAAGGAAGGUGCUUUGUGGCAGUCCUGGAUGGAUGCUGAGCGAGCCAAAUCCAAGGUGGAAAUCUACCGGGAGCUCUGAUGCCGUUGAAGGGCCUGAUGCUUUAGUGCUCAGUCAAAAGAGUUAUGCCGGGCAAGACAACAUCCCCCAACCCCCCUGGUUCAAGGGGGGAAUCAAAGGGGGACUUCAAAACCUCUCGGGCAAUGUGAUGACCUUCGCCAGAGUGCAAAAAUCAAUUUUUCAAUUGAUUCCAAACGGCUUCCACCUGGCGCCGUGUAUGCUCGAGAUCUUGGCUGUUGUCGAUGAUGAUGUGGGAAAGGGCUUUCUUGGCAUCGAUGGGGAGCUGCAUGGUGAGGGUUUUUUCAGCUUCCGGGCGGGAGAGC